rnacentral:pre_miRNA from 7 species
GACCCUCUGCCGAUGGGCCUUGAGUUGUGCAAAAGUGCUUACAGUGCAGGUAGAGCUCAGCACCUACUGCAGUAUAAGCACUUCUGGCAUGACCGUGGCGAUGCGGCACUGGAGCACG